rnacentral:tRNA from 1 species
GAAAGGCUGCAAAAGGCCAGUAGGCGCUAUCGAUGGACGUAAUGCUGGGCGUGACGCGGUCGUUCG